AUGGUCCUGUGCACGGUUAAAUCGGAUUUGUUCACCUGCCUGCCACCUUGGUGUUUCCCACAACUGCCGCCAGGGGGCAGCAGCUCCUCGCUCUGUUGGCCCCUGUCACCGAGCUUCCCAAAAAGAGCUCUAAUGCCCGCCUCCGCCCUCCCGCCGAUGUCGUGCCUCUGUCCCCGAAUCGCUCCCUGGGCCCGGGCCUCAGACUCUCUGGACCCUUAUGCCGUCCUUAAGUGUUCCCCAGCUGACCUGCUACCGUGCUCUGCACGGGCUCUCAAAACGCCACCGCCUUGCAGAUGGAAUCCACAUCAGUCCCAAAAGCCAGCCAGGAACCGGGAGCCCGGAGCCCGGAGCCGGGUCUCUCCGCAGUGGGCUCGGAAUUCCCCACCUCACAGUGCGCUCACCCGUUGUCCGCUGCGGGCGGCAGGCUGGCAGCUUCGCGCUCCCAGGUGCACCCGCCCCGCCAGCUCUUCGGAAAUGGCCGGGCGCCGUGGCCUGGACGUCCUCCCGCCCGAGUGCCCUGCCGGGCGCUGCGGGCCCAGUCCGGGAGGGGCGCCACAUCUGUAUGCGCCCCGCAGCCCAGGAGCGCCGAGGGGGCGGACGCGCGGCGCCGCCUCCGCCCCCGCCGCGCGGGCCCGGCUGGCCGGGGAGGGUCGGAGGCUGGGCUCUUCUCUCCCGCGCGGCGCGGAGCCGCCUCGUUUCUCCGCAGGCGGAGCCUCCUUCCCCCGCCCCCUCCGUCUCGCUCCCUUGUUCUCGCCGGGGCCGCUCAGACCUGCAGCGGAGCCGCGGCGCCCGCUCCAAUCGGCUCGGGGCUGCGCCCCCGGGACCCGGCGACGGGGGCGGGCGGGGGUGCUUCCCGCCGGCCUGGGCCCCUCGGCAGUGCCAGGUAAGGGCGCCUGCCCCGGAGCAGGGGUCGGGAAUCCGCGGAGGGGCAGCAGGGGGCCCGCAGCCCGGGGGUCUUCGGAGGGGUGCGCUCCGUGGCUGGGAACCCGCUGCCGACUCCCUUCUCCCGCGCUCUGCCUCUUUCCCUUCUCCCCUCGCACCUCUCUGCCUCUUUCUUCUCUCGAUUUCUCUUCACCCUUCCUUCUCUGCCUGUUUGCCUUCCUUAUCCCUUCCCUCUAUCUCCCAACCCUUCCCUCACCCUCUUGUCCUUUUUCCAUCUCCUCUCCCUCUUUGCCUUUUUCUUUCUCUACCUUUCUCCCCUUUGCUGUCUUUCUCUUUUCUCUUUCUUGCUCUCCUUUCCCUCCCUCUCCUCUCCCCUUCCCGCUAUCCUGUUUCCCACUCCUCUAUCUCUUUCCUUCUCGCCUCCUCAUCCCGCCUUCUCUCUGGUCCCCAGCUUUCCUCCGGCUUCCCCCUUCCCUCGGGAGCAAAGGGACUGUCAGGUGUGUGUCUGCUCUGAGGGAGGAGGGGCAGAAGCCACAGCUACCUGAGGGGUCCCCCCACCCACCCCUGGGAGAAAGGACAGCAGUGGGAAGGGUCUCCUCUCUAGCUCCCUUCCCGCGGCCCCUCCCUGCCUCCACCCCUCCUGUCUGCUCCUUCUCCCAGAAUUAA
rnacentral:lncRNA from 1 species